rnacentral:lncRNA from 1 species
UGCUCUUCUAGUACUUCUCAAGUACUUUGAGAAUACUUUUCACAGUUUUCAAAAGAUCCUAUCAUGGAUCUGCUUGAAAUCAAUGAUUAUGCAUAAGGUAUGAUCCACAUCAGGCUUGGUACAUUAAAUAUAUGGAUAAGUAAAUACUUUUACACCCAUUCAUGUUGAACCCUUUCAACAUAAAAUCUAUGUACAUAGAAUGGGAUAAAUCCAGCAUCCAAUUACAUCUAUCAC